GACACUUCAACUUGCUCUGCUCUCGGCUAGUUGAUUCACUUACUCACCCACUAACACUGAGCUCCUUUUCACUGUCUGUGGGCAAAAAAAAAAAAAAAAAAGAAAAAGCGAGAGAGCAGAGGAGAGCGAGCAGAGAAAAUAAAGCUCUAAAUCAGAUCAUUAUUCAGAUUUUUUUCUUAUUUUCCUUUUUUUCCCCCCCAACAUAUAUUGACUCGCACAGAUCUCUCCCCUCCUCCUCCAAAAGAAAAAAAUCAUCUGGGGGAGGGAGAGAAAGAGGAUUUUGCGUGCCUUUCUUCCUUCUUCCCCUGAUUUCUCUUCCUCCUGCUGCUCCUGCUGCAGCCCCGGCUCCUUGCAAAGCGGACCGAACAGGCGCUGAGACUUGGCUGGCUACCCUGCCUCCCUUCACUCUCCCUCGGCUCCUCCUGUUGUCUUAUUUUAUUUCUCACCUGAUCUAGAAGUCCCAGGAACGUGUGAAUUGGCGGCGGCCUUGGACUGACAGAGAGAAGGAGGCGGCGACGGCAGGCACCUGAUCCGUUGGGCGGGACCAACUGGCCUGAGGAACACUCCUUGCCAAUGGUGUCCAGAGAGUGACUCACAAGCUGCCAAGGAGCCUGUUCGUAAACACCGAGGCCCCAGAAAGGUGAAUCCUGAACCGUUCUUAAUGACCUUUCCCGGUGUGAUCACUGGGGUGACUUUUUCCACUUCUGUUCAAUUUGCCAAGGUUGUGGGAAGUUCAAGGGAGGGUUUCUGCCUCUCUCCAAGGGCUUCCAUAGAUACCUGUAUGCUAUAGGUGAAACCCCAGGCAGAGCUAUACUAUUCUGGCAUUGGGAAAGAAAAAAAACAAAACAACUCGUUUGUGAAGGGCUCCAUGCUGGGGAGCUCUGAGCAGGAUGUUCUACAAACAGCUUGUUGCUGUGAGGGCUAAAAUGCGUUCCCUUCCUCCUCUCACCUCGGAGCUCGGGAUGUGACCAGGGAUUGCCAAAGCUCCGGUUGGUAGGGGUUCCACAGGUUUUUCAGUAGCCUACACAUCCUGGUCAUCGAUGGAAAGAGCAGCCGAGUGAAUCCAAGCCCCUUAACAAUUUAUCACCCCUUCUCAAACAUCUGGAUUAGUUCUUGAAUCGUGAGUGUGGCGGGUUUUCCAAAUGGGUAGCUCUGUCGGGUAUAGGUGUUACAGGUCCAAAAGUGAUUUCGGAAAUGGGUUCUAAUCCAGAUCCGUCGCUUGUCUGUUAUGUGACCUUAAUUUAUCUGUGCCCCAGGUACCUUAUCUGUAAAAUGGGGGUUGAGACUGUGAGCCUCAUGCAGGACAUGGACCGUGUCCGAGCUGAUUAGCUUCUAUCUACCCCCAUUACUGUGACCCUCAGAGUCAGCCCUAAAUAGACGGGGGCACAAAAUGAUAGGAUCGAAAAGCUCAUUGUCGGCAGGGAACAGAUCUGUCAACUCUUUUAUAUGGUACUAUCCCAAGUGCUUAGUACAGUGCUCUGCACACAGUAAGAGUUCAGUAAAAACGCUUGAUUGGUUGACUUCUCCGUAGCUGGGACAUGUGUUGGGGCGGUUUCUGCGCCCCGAUUUCUUCCGACCACUGGAAUCACAGAAUCGCUAGGGGAGCGGUCAUCGGCUGAAGCAGGGGGUGCCUUGAGGAGGUGAAGUGGUGAUGGGGCAGGGGAGAAGAAGUGCCUCCACGUUUCUGAUGCGCCCAUUGCUUUCAGUGCCCCAGUAAGACCCCUAUUGGCCCUGCCGUUCUCUUCAUCCGUAGUUUGCCACUGUCUCUAGAGCCUGGGCUUCGGAGUCAGGGGUCAUGGGUUCGACUCCCGGCUCUGCCACUCGUCAGCUGUGUGACUGUGGGCAAGUCACUUCACUUCUCUGUGCCUCAGUUACCUCAUCUGG
rnacentral:lncRNA from 1 species